ACCUUCUCUUGGUUAAAUGAUUCUGUCGCGCUGCGUGCUAAUUAUCCACACGUUCAGUCUUUUCCCCUUUGGAGUCAUUGGGAUUUUUGAGUCGGUGGCCCGUGAGCCUGAGGUGACAGUCCCGCAGCCAGACAUGAAGUGCCACCAAUCCCUUACAUUAUGGAGGGCACGGGGAGCUGUGGCACCAGCCGGAUGACAGGGCACGCAGCAGGUGACCAGGGACAGCCAGGGGACACAGCGGGAGCCAAGAGACAGCCAGGAGACAGCGACACUGCAGGCAACAGAGCAGGAGGCAAGAGAGGACAAGAAACAACAGGAAGACCCCAGACUCUGCAGUGAAAGCCCAGGUGGUCCUUUGUUCUGGGCCCCUCCUCUGAGGCUGUGGUGUUUCUCAGAGAUGAAUGCUGGAGGCUUUGGCCUGAUCCUUUAUGCUGAGGUCCUUCAGGCUGCGCACAGGUGCAGCAGUCACCGUGCGUGGUCACCGUGCCCACAGCAGAGACGGAACCUUUCCACCUCCCACACUCAUAUAUCCCAGAGCCUGCUGUCUGAAUUAAUCAUGGAGCCCACUGUGCCUUGUUUAUAACACACUGCACUAUAGAUCUGUGUCUUUUGAAUGCAACCCCCAACAUCUCAUGUGCUCUCUGCAGGGAGAGAGAAUGCGCUGGCCUUCAGAAGUGCUUGGCACCAAGAUGUGGUAACGAGCUUUUCUAAAGCACUGAGCAUUUCAGCAGGAGUGGGUGGCUGAUGGAAACUUCCUAAGCUUAGCUUGAUAUCCAGAAGGUUAUUUUCCAAAACACAGAGACCUCAGAGGAACCUAAGAUGCCUAAUUUCUGCUAUACGGUUUCUGAACUCUGUUCCAAAACUAAGUAGAAGCAAAUUAUCUUGCACAUAAUUUGUCCUUGUUUAGCCAUGGUACGACUAAUCUGUUCAAAUUCAAAAAUCUGCAACUCAGUGAUAGUAUCAACAGACCUCUCAAGAAAAGCUCAGCAAGACAGGACAUACCUGUAUAUCAUGACUCUAAUAUGUACUGGUUUAAAAUUUCCUCUUCCUGUUUUCUGGCUGUGAAGUACAUGUUUACUCACAGUAAAUUUCUUAAGAAAAUAAACUUUAAAAUACAAAUCUU